UAAAGUUUAGUUUAUUUUAAAAUGUUUGGUUGUUGACUAGAAGAAUUUUUUACUUUAG
rnacentral:tRNA from 1 species